rnacentral:rRNA from 1 species
UUUGGGAGUAAAGAUUUAUCGCUUCUUGAACGGCCUGCGGGCUAUCAGCUAGUUGGUACGGUAACGGCGUACCAAGGCUACGACGGCUAGGGGAGGUGAGAGCCUGACCCCCACCGAUGGAACUGAGACACGGUCCAUACUCCUACGGGAGGCCGCAGUCGAGAAUCUUCCGCAAUGGGCGAAAGCCUGACGGAGCGACGCCGCGUGGUGGAUGAAGUCCUUAGGGACGUAAACACCUUUUAUGAGUGAAGAAGUUUAUUGACAUUAGCUCAUGAAUAAGGGGCUCCCAACUCUGUGCCAGCAGGAGCGGUAAUACAGAGGCCUCAAGCGUUAUCCGGAUUCACUGGGCGUAAAGGGUGCGUAGGCGGUUAUAUUGGUCGGGCGUAAAAUCCUAGGGCUCAACCUUAGGCUCGCGUUCGAAACGGUAUAACUAGGAGUAGUGAGAGGUGAACAGAACUCACGGUGUAGGGGUGAAAUCCGUUGAUAUCGUGGGGAAUACCAAAUGCGAAGGCAGUUCACUGGCGCUUACUCGACGCUGAGGCACGAAAGCGUGGGUAGCGAACGGGAUUAGAUACCCCGGCUAGUCCACGCCCUAAACGCUGUCCGCUGGCUUUACGGAGAAUCGACCCUCCCUGAGGCGAAGGUAACCCGUUAAGCGGACCGCCUGGGUAGUACGAGCGCAAGCUUAAAACUCAAAGGAAUAGACGGGGGCUCGCACAAGCGGUGG